ACUCUGAUGCAGCGAUGCCGCGUGAGUGAAGAAGGCCUUUGGGUUGUAAAGCUCUUUCGUCGGGGAAGAAAAUGACUGUACCCGAAUAAGAAGGUCCGGCUAACUUCGUGCCAGCAGCCGCGGUAAUACGAAGGGACCUAGCGUAGUUCGGAAUUACUGGGCUUAAAGAGUUCGUAGGUGGUUGAAAAAGUUAGUGGUGAAAUCCCAGAGCUUAACUCUGGAACUGCCAUUAAAACUUUUCAGCUAGAGUAUGAUAGAGGAAAGCAGAAUUUCUAGUGUAGAGGUGAAAUUCGUAGAUAUUAGAAAGAAUACCAAUUGCGAAGGCAGCUUUCUGGAUCAUUACUGACACUGAGGAACGAAAGCAUGGGUAGCGAAGAGGAUUAGAUACCCUCGUAGUCCAUGCCGUAAACGAUGUGUGUUAGACGUUGGAAAUUUAUUUUCAGUGUCGCAGCGAAAGCGAUAAACACACCGCCUGGGGAGUACGACCGCAAGGUUAAAACUCAAAUGAAUUGACGGGGACCCGCACAAGUAGUGGAGCAUGUGGUUUAAUUCGAAGAUACGCGCAGAACCUUACCAACACUUGACAUGUUCGUCGCGACUCUAAGAGAUUAGAGUUUUCGGUUCGGCCGGACGAAACACAGGUGCUGCAUGGCUGUCGUCAGCUCGUGUCGUGAGAUGUUGGGUUAAGUCCCGCAACGAGCGCAACCCUCACUUUUAGUUGCCAUCAUUUAGUUGGGCACUCUGAAAGAACUGCCAGUGAUAAGCUGGAGGAAGGUGGGGAUGACGUCAAGUCCUCAUGGCCCUUACGUGUUGGGCUACACACGUGCUA
rnacentral:rRNA from 1 species